rnacentral:lncRNA from 1 species
GCCUAAUGGAAUAAGUGGAAGGUAUUGGUAACAAUAUCCAGAAAGGAAAUCAUGUUCUUAAGUGAAUACAGCUGGAAGGCAAAGGACUCCCGUGAGGGGUGGGGCAUGGCGGGCUCCAGUAAACAAAGUUUUCUCCUGCUGGCACCAAAGCAGCCUGCUGGUUCCCACACUUGUUUGCUCAUGCGCUCCCUCCCAUGAAGAGUUGAACACUUCAGGCUGAGUAAUCAGGACACCCUGUCGCGAGUCCUGUGAAGGGGUCAAGAAAAUAUCCUGCAUCAUUUGGGGGCUCAUGUGGGAUUCAUCAGAAGAGUAUUGCAACUGAGGCUUAGAAAAGUUAAAUGUUUUUGCCAAAGAGGUCCAACUGCUGGAUUUCUGAACAAUUUGAAUGAUAACAUUUAAAAAAUGAAAGAUGAAACUGUAACAUUGUCUUUAUUACUGGAAAAACAAACAAAAACAAAAAAGCAAGUUAGAAGACCUGGCCUUAGGCCAUGGCUCUGUAUCAUGAAGUAUCUCCACAUUGAGGAAGAGGACCUGGAGAUUCCACAAAACCUCUUUCCUAGGGGCAGCUCACAAACAAAAAAGGGAGAGUAAGAGGGUUAAGCCUCUUCAAUGGGUGUGUGAUUAAGGUAAAAUCUCCCUUAAAAAAUGGGAUUAUCCCAGCAACUGAUGAAGCUGAGCAUGGAAAAGCAAGAUUGCAGCUUGGAAGUCUGUAACUAGAAGGGACAGAAUUCUUUAUCUGCAU